UUUGCAUACCAACCCAAAAGGCAUUCUGCUUGAUCGUCUGAUGUCUUUCUUUAGGUGUGCGGAAAUCAAAUGAACCUUGUCGCCUUUUUGAAACUUUAUCAUGUUUCUAAAAGUGAAAUUAAAGGUACUACAUGA